rnacentral:snRNA from 1 species
GUUUCCGGCGGUGCAUACAUCUGCUAAAAAUUAGAACAAUACAGAGAAGAUCAACAUGACCCCUGCGCAAGGAUGAUACGCAAAAUCGUGGUGAAGCUUACCAUAUUUUU